ensembl:processed_transcript 1700010B13Rik RIKEN cDNA 1700010B13 gene
AGGCCUGUUGGUGGGCUCUAGAAGGGGUUGUGCGUUUGGCCGCCCUCGCCUGGUUUUCCUGCCAGACACCCUCAAGGUCUCCAGGCCGCAGCUGUGUAGCGCGAUGUGCUCACCCUCCGCCAACAGAGCUGCACCCCUCCUGAGAGCAAACUGACUGCUUGUAACUCCCCCAUCCUUAUUCCUUCCCAACCAUCGCACUCCCCGGGCAUCUCCCCUUUCUGAAGCACUUUGAACAUCCUUCCAAUCCUGUGAGCCCUUGGGAGAGUUGGGCAGGAUGUGACCCAUGCAUGCCCAGGGCAUCCAAGCCUGGGCCACAGAGCCGACCUCUUCCCAUUGCUGAGAAGCAGAACAAGGCCAGGUCCGGAACCGGGGCUGGACAGAUAGAAUUGCUGCCUGAUGUCAGACAGCCCUAUUGGCAUCCCAGCCCUAAGUCCGUGCCAAAGUUUAAGUGGUUUUGGACGAAUUAUCACACCUCUCAAGGCCCCGAUGUCCUCAUCUGCAAAGCAGAAACCCUAAGAUCUAUCUGAGAAGCUAGGAAGAAAUUUAGAAAUAAAGUGUCCCGGUCAGCCUCCAGAACAGCUAAAAUGGGAAAAUCUGACAAUGCCAAGUGCUGGCAAGAAAGGGAGCAACUGGAAGGCUUGUACACUACUUUUGUGGAGGUGCAAAACUCACUGCCACGUGGAUAUCUGCUUUCUUAUUUGUUUUGGGUUUGGUUGGUUGUUUUUGAGGCAGAGCCUCACUACAUAGCACUGGCUGACCUUGAAUUCACUACCUAGACCAGGCUGGCCUCAAGCUCACAGAGAUCUGCCUGCCUCUGCCCUCUGAGUGCUGCCACACCAUGCACAACAUGGAAAUCUGCUUUAAAGGAUCCAGUGCCCAGUACUUUCACACCCAAGAGGCUUACUGAACUUCUGUUUUCUGUUCUUAGCAGUGCUGUUUGGAGUAGCCUUAAGUGGAGACUGUACUGAUAACCUGUAGGUCAUUAAAGGGUUAUAUAAAUUGUGGCAUACUCACUAUUGGAUUGACACUGAAUAAUUUACAGCCACAUACAAAGUAUAAGGGGGACUCUUACAAAAGGACUUUGAGCAAAAGAAGUCAGAUAAGAGCUAGGAACCAAUCGAUCAGUGUAGAAACUUCGAGAUUCUCAGAAAUUCAAAGCCAGCUUGGGCUAUUUAGUGAGUACCAGCUUGGACUACUUCACACACACACACACACACACUCGCAUGAAUGAAUGAAUGAAUGAAUGAGGUACAGUACUCCACUUGUUUUCCCAGCGCUUGGGAGGUCUGUGUAACAUUGAGAGUUCCAAGCUGGCUUUGAACUUCUGAGAAUCUCGAAGAAAAAUCUAUCUCGGGGAGGGAAAAGUUAGAUGUAUAAGGUCUCAUGCCUAUGGAGUUGUAAUUGUGUGCAGCAGGUAUUGGGAGUCAGGACAAUGGCUAAACUUGAGAGAGGGUGCCAGGAAGUGGGUAUGAUGGAUGAGUCCGGGUACUAGUUUGCUUGUGGUUUUUGUGCACGUCUGUGUGUGACUCAUGGGUGACCGCCAAUGAGGGCAUGGCUCCCCUGUUCACAUUUUGUUGUUGUUAUUUGGGUAUUUACUUAUUUAGUGUAUAUUUUUUUCAAGGCAGGGUUUCUUUGUGUAGCCCUGGCUGUCCUAGAACUAGUUCUGUAGACUAGGCUGACCUUGAACUUACAGAGAGCCUCCUGUUUCUCCCUCUCACAUGCUGGGAUUAAAAAUGUCCACCACUACUGCC